UACUCCUACGGGAGGCAGCAGUGAGGAAUAUUGGUCAAUGGGCGAGAGCCUGAACCAGCCAAGUCGCGUGAAGGAUGACUGUCUUAUGGAUUGUAAACUUCUUUUAUACGGGAAUAACAAGAGUCACGUGUGACUCCCUGCAUGUACCGUAUGAAUAAGCAUCGGCUAACUCCGUGCCAGCAGCCGCGGUAAUACGGAGGAUGCGAGCGUUAUCCGGAUUUAUUGGGUUUAAAGGGUGCGUAGGCGGCCUGUUAAGUCAGCGGUGAAAUCUAGGAGCUUAACUCCUAAAUUGCCAUUGAUACUGGCGGGCUUGAGUGUAGAUGAGGUAGGCGGAAUGCGUGGUGUAGCGGUGGAAUGCAUAGAUAUCACGCAGAACUCCGAUUGCGAAGGCAGCUUACUAAGGUACAACUGACGCUGAAGCACGAAAGCGUGGGUAUCAAACAGGAUUAGAUACCCUGGUAGUCCACGCAGUAAACGAUGAUAACUGGGCGUAUGCGAUAUACAGUAUGCUCCUAAGCGAAAGCGUUAAGUUAUCCACCUGGGGAGUACGCCGGCAACGGUGAAACUCAAAGGAAUUGACGGA
rnacentral:rRNA from 1 species